GAUGAACGCUGGCGGUGUGCCUAAUACAUGCAAGUCGAGCGAACGGACGAGAAGCUUGCUCCUCUGAUGUUAGCGGCUGACGGGCGAGUAACACGUGGAUAACCUACCUAUAAUACUGGGAUAACUUCGGGAAACCGGAGCUAAUACCGGAUAAUAUUUUGAACCGCAUAGUUCAAAAGUGAAAGACGGUCUUGCUGUCACUUAUAGAUGGAUCCGCGCUGCAUUAGCUAGUUGGUAAGGUAACGGCUUACCAAGGCAACGAUGCAUAGCCGACCUGAGAGGAUGAUCAGCCACACUGGAACUGAGACACGGUCCAGACUCCUACGGGAGGCAGCAGUAGGGAAUCUUCCACAAUGGGCGAAAGCCUGACGGAGCAACACCGCGUGAGUGAUGAAGGUCUUCGGAUCGUAAAACUCUGUUAUUAGGGAAGAACAUAUGUGUAAGUAACUGUGCACAUCUUGACGGUACCUAAUCAGAAAGCCACGGCUAACUACGUG
rnacentral:rRNA from 1 species